rnacentral:misc_RNA from 1 species
UGGGGAACUUUCACAGUGAAACUUGGAUGACAGCUUUGUAAACCAAAAGGCUAUAUGCAAAACUCCAGACACAGAAAAAAAAAUCGCUGAAACUGUAUAUAAGUGAUCUGGAUUAAAGAAAUGAGCAGAAGAAGAGGGUCAUGAAGUGCAUAUACGGUGCAGAAAAAGAGGAAAGAGUGAAAUGGAAGAAGAACAAAGGAGGAUGAAAGAUCA